CUGGUAAGACCCCUGAAAGACUAUCAGGUUGAUAGGUUGGAGGUGUAAGUACAGUAAUGUAUUCAGCUGACCAAUACUAAUAGGUCGAGGGCUUGAUCAAAUAUUUAUUAU
rnacentral:rRNA from 1 species